CUUCGGUCCACAAGUAAAGUGGCAUACGGGUGAGUAACACGUGGGUAACCUGCCCGGAGGUGGGGGACAACUCUUCGAAAGGAGAGCUAAUACCGCAUAACAUCCCGAGUACUUCGGUACACGGGAUCAAAGUUUGCCUCUGUUUCAUGCAAACGCCACCGGAGGGACCCGCGCCCCAUUAGCUUGAUGGUGAGGUAACGGCUCACCAUGGCUACGAUGGGUAGCCGGCCUGAGAGGGUGAUCGGCCACACUGGAACUGAGACACGGUCCAGACUCCUACGGGAGGCAGCAGUGAGGAAUUUUGCGCAAUGGGCGAAAGCCUGACGCAGCGACGCCGCGUGGAGGAAGAAGGCCUUCGGGUCGUAAACUCCUGUCAAGAGGGACGAAUCCCU
rnacentral:rRNA from 1 species